GACGAACCGUGCGAACGUUGUUCGGAAUCACUGGGCUUAAAGGGCGCGUAGGCGGGCCGGCAAGUCAGGGGGGAAAUCCUCCAGCUCAACUGGAGAACUGCUUUUGAUACUGGCGGUCUAGAGUGGGGUAGGGGCAUGCGGAACAAUGGGUGGAGCGGUGAAAUGCGUUGAUAUCCAUUGGAACUCCGGUGGCGAAAGCGGCGUGCUGGACCUCAACUGACGCUGAGGCGCGAAAGCUAGGGGAGCAAACGGG
rnacentral:rRNA from 1 species